CCGAGUUUACAACUCCCAAGCCCCUGUGAACAUACCACUUGUUGCCUCGGCGGAUCAGCCCGCUCCCGGUAAAACGGGACGGCCCGCCAGAGGACCCCUAAACUCUGUUUCUAUAUGUAACUUCUGAGUAAAACCAUAAAUAAAUCA
rnacentral:misc_RNA from 1 species